GCUGGAUGGUCCGGACGGUAGACGGAACUGAGCUUAUAUCUCAGCUGACAAGGUUCAACUCCUUGAUCCAGUAC
rnacentral:tRNA from 4 species